UCCUCGUACCGCCGCCGCUGCUCCCGCUCCUGCUGUUUGCGGAUCUCGCGCUCCCGGCGUUGUUGCUGCCCAACGACAGGUCAAAGUAAUUUAUUACUGCAGACAGCCAAGACACGACGGGGAAAGAUUUCUGCCGCUCUGACUGAAAUGCUGCGAGAUGGCAACUCGAUCUUCACCUUCUGAAGGGUUAUAUUGAUGCCCUGAAGUAGAAUACUUCAAAUAAUACAAUAAAAAGACCCUGGAAAAAUGAUUAUGAUGCACAGCAAGACUGUACCAGCUAUAGUAUAGUAAAGUGACUCCUUA